UGGGGAAUAUUGGACAAUGGGGGCAACCCUGAUCCAGCAACGCCGCGUGAAUGAAGAAGGCCUUCGGGUUGUAAAGUUCUUUAGUCUGUGAGCAAAGCUAGUGGAUGAAUAGUCUACGAAGUUGAGAGUAACAGAAGAAUAAGCACCGGCUAACUACGUGCCAGCAGCCGCGGUAAUACGUAGGGUGCGAGCGUUAAUCGGAAUAACUGGGCGUAAAGGGUGUGUAGGCGGAAAUGUAAGUUAGAUGUGAAAAGCCUGAGCUUAACUUAGGUCGUGCAUUUAAGACUGCAUAUCUAGAGUCAGUGAGAGGGAGGUAGAAUUCCAAGUGUAGCAGUGAAAUGCGUAGAGAUUUGGAGGAAUACCGAUGGCGUAGGCAGCCUCCUGGCAUAAGACUGACGCU
rnacentral:rRNA from 1 species